rnacentral:rRNA from 1 species
AUUGAACGCUGGCGGCAUGCUUUACACAUGCAAGUCGAGCGGUAACAGGCCUUCGGGUGCUGACGAGUGGCGAACGGGUGAGUAAUGCAUCGGAACGUACCCAGAGGUGGGGGAUAACGCAGCGAAAGCUGUGCUAAUACCGCAUGUGAUCUGAGGAUGAAAGCGGGGGACCGAGCAGCAAUGUUUGGCCUCGCGCCUUUGGAGCGGCCGAUGUCGGAUUAGCUAGUUGGUGGGGUAAAGGCCUACCAAGGCGACGAUCCGUAGCUGGUCUGAGAGGACGACCGGCCACACUGGAACUGAGACACGGCCCAGACUCCUACGGGAGGCAGCAGUGGGGAAUUUUGGACAAUGGGCGCAAGCCUGAUCCAGCAAUGCCGCGUGCGGGAAGAAGGCCUUCGGGUUGUAAACCGCUUUUGGCAGGAACGAAACGGUGUCCGCUAAUACCGGGCGCUAAUGACGGUACCUGCAGAAUAAGCACCGGCUAACUACGUG